rnacentral:rRNA from 1 species
GAUGAACGCUGGCGGCGUGCCUAAUACAUGCAAGUCGAGCGAACAGACGAGGAGCUUGCUCCUCUGACGUUAGCGGCGGCCGGGUGAGUAACACGUGGAUAACCUACCUAUAAGACUUGGAUAACUUCGGGAAACCGGAGCUAAUACCGGAUAAUAUAUUGAACCGCAUGGUUCAAUAGUGAAAGACGGUUUUGCUGUCACUUAUAGAUGGAUCCGCGCCGCAUUAGCUAGUUGGUAAGGUAACGGCUUACCAAGGCAACGAUGCGUAGCCGACCUGAGAGGGUGAUCGGCCACACUGGAACUGAGACACGGUCCAGAAUCCUACGGGAGGCAGCAGUAGGGAAGCUUACGCAAUGGGCGAAAGCCUGACGGAGCAACGCCGCGUGAGUGAUGAAGGUCUUCGGAUCGUAAAAAUCUGUUAUUAGGGAAGAACAAAUGUGUAAGUAACUAUGCACGUCUUGACGGUACCUAAUCAGAAAGCCACGGCUAACUACGUG